rnacentral:piRNA from 1 species
UCCAUUGAUGUCACUGUCACUUGUGUACCAG